UUCCGGUUGAUCCUGCCGGACCUGACUGCUAUCGGAUUGAUACUAAGCCAUGCGAGUCAUUGUAGCAAUACAAGGCAUACGGCUCAGUAACGCGUAGUCAACCUAACCUAUGGACGGGAAUAACCUCGGGAAACUGAGAAUAAUGCCCGAUAGAACAUUAUGCCUGGAAUGGUUUAUGUUCCAAAUGAUUUAUCGCCGUAGGAUGGGACUGCGGCCUAUCAGUUUGUUGGUGAGGUAAUGGCCCACCAAGACUAUUACAGGUACGGGCUCUGAGAGGAGUAGCCCGGAGAUGGGUACUGAGACACGGACCCAGGCCCUAUGGGGCGCAGCAGGCGAGGAAACUUUGCAAUGUGCGAAAGCACGACAAGGUUAAUCCGAGUGGUUUCUGCUAAAGGAACCUUUUGUCAGUCCUAGAAACACUGAUGAAUAAGGGGUGGGCAAGUUCUGGUGUCAGCCGCCGCGGUAAAACCAGCACCUCAAGUGGUCAGGAUGAUUAUUGGGCCUAAAGCAUCCGUAGCCGGCUCUGUAAGUUUCGGUUAAAUCUGUACGCUCA
rnacentral:rRNA from 1 species